rnacentral:rRNA from 1 species
AUACGGAGGAUGCGAGCGUUAUCCGGAUUUAUUGGGUUUAAAGGGUGCGUAGGCUGUUAGUUAAGUCAGGGGUGAAAUGCCGGUGCUCAACGCCGGAGCUGCCCUUGAUACUGGCUGGCUGGAGUGCGGAUGCCGUUGGAGGAAUGAGUGGUGUAGCGGUGAAAUGCUUAGAGAUCACACAGAACACCGAUUGCGAAGGCAUCUCACGAACGGAUGAUUGACGCUGAGGCACGAAAGCGUGGGGAUCAAACAGGAUUAGAUACCCUGGUAGUCCACGCAGUAAACGAUGAUAACUAACCGCUGGUAAGUAAUUAUCAGUGGCCAAGCGAAAGCGAUAAGUUAUCCACCUGGGGAGUACGACCGCAAGGUUGAAACUCAAAGGAAUUGACGGGG